GUUUCUAUCUACAAUGUUCAAUCCCAACUUUUCUGAGUCCUAGUACGCAAGGAAUGGUCUCAGCGAUGCUCGUCUAUAUUGGCCCCAUCGACGUAAUUAACUUCUGGCUGCUGCAAAGAAGGAAAACAAAAGGAUUAGGGAUUAAUAAGGUGCC
rnacentral:rRNA from 2 species